GCGCAUUUAUUGCAUUUCGUAUAGACUGUACUUCAUGUUACUUGACCCUGAAAUGGCCACAGAAUUAGAUAUAUUUUAUGCAUGACAGUCAUUAUGGAGUCAUUUAUGGACAACAGUUAAAAGUAGUUGUGGGAUAUAUACCGAGUUUCUUGGUGAAGUUUUAGUGUUUAGUACGAAAUGAGGUGCAUCGCAAAAUAGGGCAUAUUUAUCAUGUACGGCAUGAAAAUAUUUCUUGAAAAAAAUUAAGAAAGAUGGAUUUUACCAGGAGCACGAUUCAGUUAUUUGAAACCCCUGCAGGAGAUUCUGCCCGGUGGCCAAAUGCAGAGUCAACUUGAAUACAAACAACAAUGUCAACAACAACAGUGAGAAGACAAACAUAAGGACAAAGGAAAAUAACAAAAACAAAUAAGCAAAAUUGAAUUAAGGUAAAAGUUCGCGUCACACCUUUCACCUUGUGACGGCACACCAGUGUGCCGCGGAACACCGGUUGCGGAACACUGAGUUAGAGGACCGCUGGGGCUCAGUCAUUGAAGCUGUUGCUGUGAGAAACUUGUAGCUGAGGCAGGGGACAGUUCCAAAUCCAGAGAAGGGGGAACGUCCGCCGUUGGAAGCGCCUACCAAGCGACGGCUAAUGAAGAAAAUGACAGACUGAGAAGACUUAAUGUUUCCUAUAGUGAUUUAUGAAGUAUGUAGAACAGUGAUAACAUAACCCUUACUUGUAGUUACGGGUUGUAAGGGUUCACUAAAUUCUAUUACCAAUCCAUACUCUGUCUAUAGUCACUCAAAUUCUUGAAAAUAUUUACUAUAAAAUUUGCAGGCAUGUUCAUCACCUAUCGCCAUAUCAAACCUCAUAUGCCUAAUUCCAAUGGUUCAUUUGUCACGGAUGAAGCAAGAGCUAAAUUUUGAUUUCAUGCAGCCAGGCUUUAUCGUCUGUUAUACACAAAUUCAGGAUCCUAUAUACAAUUUUGCUCGUGUUACUGCCAUCUCACAAGUUUCUUUUGUAGAAAAUUGAAAAGUAUGAAUUUUGGAUAGCCUCAAAUCUAAUGACAUGUCAACACAAAAUUUUAUCAAAAUCUGUCCAAAUAUUUUCGAGUUCAGACAUACAGACACGUAUAAACACACCAGUUCGGUGCAAAUCGCGCAAACAACUCCUAAUUACGAUGGCUCAAGUCUGGGAAUACCCUAUUCGUCAAAAUGGGCCCUUGUCACAUACAGAUGGUGUUGGUAGGAGAAAUGGUGGCGACGAUAAUGAUACUGUAGGUCUUGUGGUAAUUACAGUGUCUAACGAAUAUUUCAUUCUGUAAGUGUUGAUUUUAAGAGACACCAUUUGUUUUUGCUCGCCGUUGUAAUACUCAAUCUCACUUCCCCUUCGUAGUUGAGCUCUAACUGUUUACCUGUUUCUGAACUCAACUUUCCAAGUCACAAACAAGAUAAUAAUAAUUUACCACGCUACAGUUGGGGCCGUCUCUCCGGUUCCUCGUGGCAGUUCUUUUGUUUGACCUGCCGCGUGUACCCGUCCUUAUACAGAGCUCACGAAAUCAGUUCAAGACUGACAUUAGUCUCAUUCGGGCCAGUAAGUGUACUUCCAAUCGACUUGAUGCAGAGUUACGCAAAAAUUGAUAAUUAUUUUAAGGGCUAGCAAAAUUCUGGCAUACCCAGUGCCUAGGAACUGAGUGAGUAUACUAACGCUUGACGUGAAAUGUAGGAAGCCUCCAGGUGAAGUCCAUUUGUUAUGAACUUCUCAUGUUAUGUAUCAACAUUACCAUCACCAUCAAUAACAGAACAAAAUUUACUCUAUGAUAUAUUUUUAGCUAAAUCAUGCAUAUGCAGGAAGUUUUAGAAAGAACUAAUGACGUACUAUUCUCGGAGAGGACACGAACCGCAUAGAAAACUAGUAAAUUACUGGGGAUACAUAGACGCGCAGUUACACGACUUCCAAAGUUGUGAGACAGAAAAAUAUGGUAAUCAGUCUCGUGGGGUUCGCAACUAAGAAUGACUGUGCUGGCGAAGACCGGCAGCCAUAUACCCGAAAAGAACAGAUACACAGAUAUCAAGGUGAUCUCAUAAGAUUGCUAACAAAAAUUAGGGGGUGGGUGCAUGGACAGUCAGACGGAAACAGGCGGAUGUACGGACACAAUAAGGCGAUUCUUAAGCCUGCUUUUAUUUUUCCAAAAUAAGGCGACGAGACUCAAGAGACGAGCGGCUGCAUGACUGAGGAGAUGGGAUCUGUGACGCUCUGGAAGGGAACCGUCAAGUCCAGAACAGAGACCAGGGACGGGCUCUGAGAAUUUAUACGUAGUAGGCGACUGCUCGAAGCUGAAUAAAUUUAAUUAAACUGUUUAUCUCUGGCAAAGUCAGACUCAUUAAACAAUUCGGAUUCGGAAGAUAAUUUUUAUGUAUUUUUCAACCGAAUUCUGCAUAUCUGCGUCCCUUCUACCCACAGUGAGACGACAAUAUAUGUAUAGUAGAACGCCGAUUGCCGGUCACGGUAGCCGAGCGGUCUAAGGCAUGCACUGUCUUCGCUCUCUCGGAAGCCGGGAUCGUGG